AGACCGAUAGCGAACAAGUAGAGUGAUCGAAAGGUUAAAAGCACCUUGAAAAGGGAGUUAAAUAGCACGUGAAAUUGUUGAAAGGGAAGCGCUUGCGACCAGACUCGGGGGCGGGGUUCAGCGGCCAUCCGUGGCCGUGUACUCCCCGUCUCCCGGGCCAGCAUCGGUUCUCGCGGUCGGUAAAAGGCCCCCGGAAUGUGUCGUCCUUCGGGACGUCUUAUAGCCGGGGGUGCAAUGCGGCCAGCGGGGACCGAGGAACGCGCUUCGGCUCGGAUGCUGGCGUAAUGGUCGUAAGCGGCCCGUCUUGAAACACGGACCAAG
rnacentral:rRNA from 1 species